UGCCCUGAUGUGGGGGAUAACUAUUGGAAACGAUAGCUAAUACCGCAUAACGUCUACGGACCAAAGAGGGGGACCUUCGGGCCUCUCGCUUCAGGAUAUGCCCAGGUGGGAUUAGCUAGUUGGUGAGGUAAUGGCUCACCAAGGCGACGAUCCCUAGCUGGUCUGAGAGGAUGAUCAGCCACACUGGAACUGAGACACGGUCCAGACUCCUACGGGAGGCAGCAGUGGGGAAUAUUGCACAAUGGGCGCAAGCCUGGAUGCAGCCAUGCCGCGUGUAUGAAGAAGGCCUUCGGGUUGUAAAGUACUUUCAGUCGUGAGGAAGGCANUAUAGUUAAUAGCUAUAUCGUUUGACGUUAGCGACAGAAGAAGCACCGGCUAACUCCGGGCCAGCAGCCGCGGUUAAUACGGGAGGGUGCGAG
rnacentral:rRNA from 1 species